AGCAGCGUGGCGCAGAGGGAGCGCGCGAGGCCCAUAACCUCGAGGACGUCGGAUCAAAACCGACCGCUGCUU
rfam:Sphaeroforma arctica JP610 cont1.874, whole genome shotgun sequence.